CCAAACACAACUCAGCGGCCUUGGCGCCUGAUGCUAACUGCAGUCACCUGGCUACGUCUUCGCGCCGCGGCUAGGUCUCCGCGGCGCGCCCCAAACACAACUCAGCGGCGUUGGCGCAUGAUGCUAACUGCAGUCACCUGGCUACGUCUUCGCGCCGCGGCUAGGCUUCCGCGGCGCGCCCCAAACACAACUCAGCGGCGUUGGCGCCUGAUGCUAACUGCAGUCACCUGGCUACGUCUUCGCGCCGCGGCUAGGUCUCCGCGGCGCGCCCCAAACACAACUCAACGGCGUUGGCGCCUGAUGCCAACUGCAAUCACCUGGCUACGUCUUCGCGCCGCGGCUAGGUCUCCGCGGCGCACCCCAAACACAACUCAGCGGCCUUGGCGCCUGAUGCUAACUGCAGUCACCUGGCUACGUCUAUGCGCCGCGGCUAG
rnacentral:lncRNA from 1 species